AUCCUUUCGCAGCUCGUAAGCGUGAUGACUGGCUCUUCGUGCACACGCGUGAGCUGUGCCUCCCUCAGCCCUUGUUAGCCGUCGGCACGUUACUCGUCUGACA